UACGUAGGGUGCAAGCGUUGUCCGGAAUUAUUGGGCGUAAAGAGCUCGUAGGCGGUUUGUCGCGUCUGCUGUGAAAACCCGAGGCUCAACCUCGGGCCUGCAGUGGGUACGGGCAGACUAGAGUGCGGUAGGGGAGAUUGGAAUUCCUGGUGUAGCGGUGGAAUGCGCAGAUAUCAGGAGGAACACCAGGUGGCGAAGGCGGUCUCUGGGCCGAUGACUGACGUGAGGAGCGAAAGCUGGGGAGCGAACAGG
rnacentral:rRNA from 1 species